GACAGUGUGGUGCAGUGGUUUGGAUGCUGGACUAGGACUCUGAGAGACCAGGGUUCAAAUCCCUGCUCAGCCA
rnacentral:tRNA from 1 species